UAAAAAAGUUUAACCAUGGACUCCCCCAAAGAAGGUCAAAAAACUGAAACAUUCGUUCCUGAAUUUCAGAAAUUAAAAUUACGUCCAGUGCCGAAAGUGAAAAGGCGUGCGCCACAACCACCAACCACUUUGCCACUGAGAAAUACUUCAUCCACAACCAAAACUACCACUCUCACCACUCCCGCCAAAUUGUAUGGCAAGGAUUUGAGCGAAUAUGAUGAGGUUGAUGUUGAUGCAUUAUUGGCGCAAUUGUCACCAGAGGAAAUCAAUAUUCUGGCCAAAGAAGUUGAUCCCGAUGACAAUUUCCUGCCACCCGAUCAACGUUGCAGUUACGAAUGCGCUAAAGAUCCCACCGGUCCAUUGAAUCGUAAAAAAUUAAUUGAGCACAUUAAUAAGCAAGCUUUAGAAGCACCCGAUGAGCCAGAAUUCGAACCGUACGUAAAGGGUACUGUAAGAGGUAAGAAAUGGGUGCCGCCACCACGGGAUGAUAGCGAAGUUGCCGCUGAGGAACAGAUCGCCAUCGAUUUGGGUGAAGAAUAUGAGCAUGCGUUGAGCGAUGCAACGCAAGAGGAGAUUAUCGAUUUGGCAGCUAUUCUUGGUUUCCAUUCAAUGAUGAAUCAGGAUCAAUAUCACGCUUCAUUGUUGAACAAGGGACAACCAGUUGGUAUGGGUUGGGAUGGCAUUACAAAAUCAACUCAACCAAAAUUGUUCCCAAUGGAUCCACCGAAUAACACAGAUGUCGAAGAAUCAAUUAAACGUGUUAAAGAUAACGAUGCUAAAUUGAUUGAACUGAACUUAAAUAAUAUUAAGAAUAUUUCCGAUGAGAAAUUUGAACAACUUUUCCAAGUACUGCCCGAUAAUGAAAAUUUGGAAGUUCUUUCCUUAACAAAUGUUGGUCUCACUGACAAGACAGCUCUCUUAUUGGCUGAAGCAAUUGAGAAAAGCAAAACCUUGAGAGUAUUAAAUGUUGAGACAAAUUUCAUUAGUCCGCCUGUUAUUGUGACCUUAGUAAAAGCCCUGCUCAAAUGCCGCACAAUUGAAGAAUUCAGGGCAUCCAAUCAGCGAUCCUCAGUGCUCGGCAAUAAGAUCGAAAUGGAAAUAACCGAAUUGGUGGAAAAGAAUCCAUCCCUACUCAGAUUAGGUCUGCAUUUGGAAUUCAACGAUGCACGUCACAGAGUCGCCGCACAUUUGCAGCGCAACAUCGACAGAAUACGUGUAAAUCGCCUAAACCAGCGUAAAUAAAUUGUGUGAACCACCAAACAAUGUACCAACCAACAAACCAUUCAACCAGCCAAUUUGUUGUUCACGUUAAUCGCAAGCAAACAGUAAAACAAAAGCCACUACAAUUCGCAUACAUAAUUAAACAAACAAAAAUAAAAAAAAAAUAAAUAAAAAAGUACACGAAAUGCAACAAAAAUUGUAAUUGUAAUUUUUAAAACUCCUCUUGUAUUGUUAAAUAAAUGUUUGUAAAUCAUGUUAACGCAAAAAAUAGUCGCCAACGCAAACCACCAAAACAUUUGUUCUACCACAUACUAUACUCACACGCUCCAAUUGCUACAUCAACCAACUCUAAUACAACUGCCAACAAGACCAAAACAUCAUAUACCGCCAGCCACAACCACACCCACAGCGAAACAGUGAAAAGUUCUCCAACAACGUGUGUAAUCAAGCAAGAAAAGAAAAGUCCCAAUUGAAUGUGAUUUUGCAAUGAAGAAAAAGUGGCCGCCUAAGACGUUUGGGUCACUUCAGUUGCAAUUAUACUGUUGGCGCAUGGCAGUAGAUAAAGUGCUUACAUACAUACAUAUACAUGAACAUUUACUGCGUUAUAUAAAACAAUGUGAAUUGAGUGCGAAAUAUGGAGCAAAAACACAGGCAACUACGCGCAAUGAAAGUGGUUUAAUUGCAGUGCUGCAGGCGAGAGUGUUGCCAUUGUUUUUUUUUUUUUUUUU
rnacentral:misc_RNA from 1 species